rnacentral:rRNA from 1 species
UACGUAGGUGGCAAGCGUUGUCCGGAUCUAUUGGGUUUAAAGGGUGCGUAGGCGGCUUUGUAAGUCAGUGGUGAAAUAUGGCAGCUCAACUGUCAGGGUGCCAUUGAUACUGCGGAGCUUGAGUACAGAUGAGGUAGGCGGAAUUGACGGUGUAGCGGUGAAAUGCUUAGAUAUCGUCAAGAACACCGAUAGCGAAGGCAGCUUACUAGGCUGUAACUGACGCUGAGGCACGAAAGCUGGGGGAGCAAACCGG